rnacentral:rRNA from 1 species
CAGCCGCCACGGUAAUACGAAGGGUGCAAGCGUUACUCGGAAUUACUGGGCGUAAAGCGUGCGUAGGUGGUGGUUUAAGUCCGUUGUGAACGCCCUGGGCUCAACCUGGGAAUUGCAGUGGAUACUGGGUCACUAGAGUGUGGUAGAGGAUAGUGGAAUUUCCGGUGUAGCAGUGAAAUGCGUAGAGAUCGGAAGGAACAUCUGUGGCGAAGGCGGCCAUCUUGGACAACACUGACGCUGAAGCACGAAAGCGUGGGGAGCAAACAGGAUUAGAUACCCCCGUAGUCCCUGUCUCUUAUAC